rnacentral:rRNA from 1 species
GCAGCGAGGAGAAGCUUGCUUCUCUGUCGGCGAGUGGCGAACGGGUGAGUAUAGCAUCGGAACGUGCCAAGUAGUGGGGGAUAACCAAACGAAAGUUUGGCUAAUACCGCGUAAGCUCCAAGGAGGAAAGUAGGGGACCUAAAUAAGGCCUUACGCUAUUUGAUCGGCCGAUGUCGGAUUAGCUAGUUGGUGGGGUAAUGGCUCACCAAGGCAAUGAUCCGUAGCGGGUCUGAGAGGACGAUCCGCCACACUGGGACUGAGACACGGCCCAGACUCCUACGGGAGGCAGCAGUGGGGAAUUUUGGACAAUGGGGGGAACCCUGAUCCAGCCAUGCCGCGUGUAUGAAGAAGGCCUUAGGGUUGUAAAGUACUUUUGUUAGGGAAGAAAAGCUAGUUUUUAAUAAAAAUUAGUGAUGACGGUACCUAAAGAAUAAGCACCGGCUAACUACGUGCCAGCAGCCGCGGUAAUACGUAGGGUGCAAGCGUUAAUCGGAAUUAUUGGGCGUAAAGCGAGUGCAGACGGUUACUUAAGCCAGAUGUGAAAUCCCCAAGCUUAACUUGGGACGUGCAUUUGGAACUGGGUGACUAGAGUGUGUCAGAGGGAGGUAGAAUUCCACAUGUAGCGGUGGAAUGCGUAGAGAUGUGGAGGAAUACCGAUGGCGAAGGCAGCCUCCUGGGAUAACACUGACGUUGAGGCUCGAAAGCGUGGGGAGCAAAC